GUUAUGUUGGUUAAUACCAAGGUGUUAUGUUGGUUAAUACCAAGGUGUUAUGUUGGUUAAUACCAAGGUGUUAUGUUGGUUGAAACCAAGGUGCUUUGUUGGGUGAAACCAAGGUGUUAUGUUGGUUAAUACCAAGGUGUUAUGUUGGUUAAUACCAAAGUGUUAUGUUGGUUGAAACCAAGGUGCUUUGUUGGGUGAAACCAAGGUGUUAUGUUGGUUAAUACCAAGGUGUUAUGUUGGUUGAUACCAAGGUGCUUUGUUGGGUGAAACCAAGGUGUUAUGUUGGUUGAUACCAAGGUGCUUUGUUGGUUGAAACCAAGGUGCUUUGUUGGUUGAAACCAAUGUGCUUUGUUGGGUGAAACCAAGGUGUUAUGUUGGUUAAUACCAAGGUGUUAUGUUGGUUGAUACCAAGGUGUUAUGUCGGUUGAUACCAAGGUGUUAUGUUGGUUAAUACCAAGGUGUUAUGUUGGUUAAUACCAAGGUGUUAUGUUGGUUAAUACCAAGGUGUUAUGUUGGUUAAUACCAAGGUGUUAUGUUGGUUAAUACCAAGGUGUUAUGUUGGUUAAAUACCAAGGUGUUAUGUUGGUUGAUACCAAGGUGUUAUGUUGGUUGAUACCAAGGUGCUUUGUUGGUUAAUACCAAGGUGUUAUGUUGGUUAAUACCAAGGUGUUAUGUUGGUUGAAACCAAGGUGUUAUGUUGGUUGAAACCAAGGUGCUUUGUUGGUUGAAACCAAGGUGCUUUGUUGGGUGAAACCAAGGUGCUUUGUUGGUUAAUACCAAGGUGCUUUGUUGGGUGAAACCAAGGUGCUUUGUUGGGUGAAACCAAGGGGCUUUGUUGGGUGAAACCAAGGGGCUUUGUUGGGUGAAACCAAUGUGCAUACCGGUGAAACUCAUCUAGCCAACCAUGAUGGCAUAACCUAGAAAGGGGACAACUUUAGUGGUAAUUAGUUUCUGUAUAAGCUGUAAACCAGAUGAAUCAACAGAAUAUAUAGCUGGUCUUUCACCUGUAUCUGUUCUGGGGGAAAAGGUACUUUCAAAAUAUGGAUUGACCAUUUGAAAAGCAGUCCACUAUACAGACAAUGGGGUGAUUUGGGGAUAGGUGUCUUCUACUGAAAAGCCAAUAAUAUACAGUGGUGACUGAAUCAUGUUACCAUCCUGAUCUCUUUCUAAAAUCUACUUCUGAAAUAAGGACAAAUAUUCCACCAAGCAAGCUGUUCGUCUGUUCUACUGACUGACUCGUAUACUGUACACCCCUCUUCAUUCUCUGUCAGACACUACAGCAGUGUCUCAAUCUAUCUUCUCUCUUCGGGAGUGCGACAGGUAGCCGCGGGGGCGACAGGUAGCCGGGGUGCGACAGGUAGCCGGGGGCGACAGGUAGCCGGGGUGCGACAGGUAGCCGGGGGCGA
ensembl:lncRNA